ACAUGGGAGUGCCGGGAAGCAGUCUGGACUGAAGAUUUACACAUCUCUUCCGGAACGAUCGGCAGCUUCAUUGCACCGCACUACUCCAACCACAUGACACCCCUGCUCGAGAGGCGCUUGGCGGCUUCGAAGGCGAAUCCUUCUGCAUACGCCAGCUCGUUUGCAGCAAUGAACCAUGACAAUCUAACCAUGCAUGAGAAUGCGGUACGUGAAUAUACGGCUCGUCAGAUGACGUACCUGUCGGACAUGCUGAACGCAUUUGCGGGCCUGGCCAAGAUAUUCGAGACUCCAUUGGCGACCGGUUUUUCGCAGGGCUUACCGAAAAACCGCCUCGAUACGGCCUUACUCUGGACGCCUGAGCAGGCACU
rnacentral:lncRNA from 1 species